UACGGAGGGUGCGAGCGUUAAUCGGAAUUACUGGGCGUAAAGCGCGCGUAGGCGGUUACAUAAGUUGGAUGUGAAAGCCCAGGGCUCAACCUUGGAACUGCAUUCAGAACUGGCUGGCUUGAGUACGAGAGAGGGUAGUGGAAUUUCCAGUGUAGCGGUGAAAUGCGUAGAUAUAGGAAGGAACAUCAGUGGCGAAGGCGACUGCCUGGCUCGAUACUGACGCUGAGGUGCGAAAGCGUGGGGAGCAAGCAGG
rnacentral:misc_RNA from 1 species